rnacentral:rRNA from 1 species
GGGCCCGCACAAGCGGUGGAGCAUGUGGUUUAAUUCGACGCAACGCGAAGAACCUUACCAGCUCUUGACAUUGCUAAGUCGCGAGUUUUAGAGAUAAAACUCUUCAGUUCGGCUGGACUUAGUACAGGUGCUGCAUGGCUGUCGUCAGCUCGUGUCGUGAGAUGUUGGUUAAGUCCCGCAACGAGCGCAACCCUUGUCCUUAGUUGCCAGCAAUUCGGUUGGGCACUCUAGGGAGACUGCCGGUGAUAAACCGGAGGAAGGCGGGGAUGACGUCAAGUCCUCAUGGCCCUUACGGGCUGGGCUACACACGUGCUACAAUGGUCGGUACAAAGGGCAGCGAAGCCGCGAGGUGGAGCG